rnacentral:rRNA from 1 species
UACGUAGGGCGCAAGCGUUGUCCGGAAUUAUUGGGCGUAAAGAGCUCGUAGGCGGUUUGUCGCGUCUGCUGUGAAAACCUAAGGCUCAACCUUGGGCUUGCAGUGGGUACGGGCAGACUAGAGUGCGGUAGGGGUGACUGGAAUUCCUGGUGUAGCGGUGGAAUGCGCAGAUAUCAGGAGGAACACCGAUGGCGAAGGCAGGUCACUGGGCCGCAACUGACGCUGAGGAAGCGAAAGCAUGGGGAGCGAACGG